CAGCAGCGCUGCCGAUAGCAGACAUCGACCGUGCCUCCCGCCAGCUACCAUAGAGCGGCGGAACCGCCGGAACACACGGAGCAGCACUUCCAGUUGGGCGUGCACCGGGCGGGCGGAAGUCGCGUGGCUAGGCACGGUCACGCGCUUCCCGCGUGCUGCGCGGGGCGGCGUUUGUGCGGGUUGUUGCGCUUUUUGCACGCUGCGGGGCUGAGCGCGAGGCGCGACCGUUGGGCUUUUCCAGUCAGCGCUGUGGCGGCCGCCCGUAUCGGGUUGUGUGGUUACCGGGCUCUGAGCCGCCCUACCUGUUGCUGCUGUGCACUGUAGUUACCCUACAAUGAGACAGAGCAGGAUUUGGGCUGCUGCUUCCAAUCUGCUCCUUGUGUUUGAGCAGCUUCACAGUUGACGUAGCAACGAAUGCAUCACCCUGGUCUUCGCUUCAGGGCUGAAGAGAACGUGCUUUGAAACAUGGAUGUCUGCUGUCCUCAGGAAGCUGUACAGCAUCUCUCUGUCAGGCCAAGAACAUUAUCCAGAGUGCUCGCUGUGUUCUUUGUCCAGACUGAGGAUCUGUUGGAAUGUGUGGAAGCUUCUGCCAUAUCUGGAUCAGUUUGAAAGAGACUAAUCCAGAAGAUAGGAACAGCUUCUAGAGCCUACACUUGUGCUUAAAGGUAUGUGCAUAGCACAGA